CGAUAGACGGUAUUACUGAUACGUUCUGGAAUAUUACAACGAGCAAUGUAUAUUCUAUAUUUGCUGAAUAAUCACGGUGAAAGGUUGUUCGCAAUCAUCAAUUUCUGGUUUUCAAUCACAGAAAAACAUUUCGUUUGUCUAAGGAAAAGAAAAUUUAAAUAUUGAGACUUGGAAAAGGAUCUGCGGGGAUGAAAGGCAAUGGCCAAACAACUAUGACACCAUCUAUGAUGCUAAACAAUGUUAGCGAAAUUGCAGCAGUGGCUGGUAACAAACACCAAAGCAUUCAUGACCUCAUUUCGGCCGACAACCAUGCAGUCACGGAAGGAAUCAGUGUAUAUAUUAGGCAUUAAAUUUCGCUACAUAUCGCAUUUCCUAAGUAACGCUUCCUUUUCUCUUGCGAAUUGUACGACUUAAUUAGCCUAAAACACGAUACGUGUGUUCUAAAAUGACAUGUUUACAUCAUUCUUUCACCAGAGCCGGUAUUGCUUUCUAGAUCAAGGCGUACAAGCAUAUUGGAAUUUCCGGUUGUAAUGGCAGGACGCAUCACAGCAUUUCUUCUCAUGUGUGCCGUGUUCGCCUACGGCAUCAUAACCAUUGCAGCCAAUCAAGAUGCUACAGCACGAGGAAGUUCGGUUCCGGCGAGUGCUGCCAAUGAGGAUGCAAGAAUCGGAACAGCUGCGAUCCAAAGCUUGGCGGGUGGAGGCCUCGGCUGAAACUCACGUGAUUGGCUGCACCCAGAGAGCAGCGCGAGAGAACCGACUUUUGUCGCGUGCUCGCUUUAGUUUUUAGCGAGUGCAGUUUUCACCGCUCAAAUGGAAUAAAUGUCGCAACAUUA